rnacentral:misc_RNA from 1 species
AUUCCUCCACCUUCGACCUUUUUGUGUCGCGAGGCUGGGACUUGGGGGUGUCUUGCGGGCCUUUGAAAGGUCCGCUCCCCUUGAAUGCGUUAGUGAAGCCUUUUGCGUCGGGCCUCGGUGUGAUAGACAUCUACUCCGUGAGCCGCGCGAGUCGGGGCGGCGCUCACAACCGUCCGCAUGGACAGCACAUUUUGAAC